rnacentral:rRNA from 2 species
GACGAACCGAGCGAACGUUGUUCGGAAUCACUGGGCUUAAAGGGCGCGUAGGCGGGCUGCCAAGUCUGGGGUGAAAUCCCGCGGCUCAACCGUGGAACUGCCUCAGAUACUGGCGGCCUCGAGGGAGAUAGGGGCGAGCGGAACUAAUGGUGGAGCGGUGAAAUGCGUUGAUAUCAUUAGGAACUCCGGUGGCGAAGGCGGCUCGCUGGAUCUUUUCUGACGCUGAGGCGCGAAAGCUAGGGGAGCAAACGGG